rnacentral:rRNA from 1 species
CUGGGCUAGAAUGCCUCUGACAACCCUAGAGAUAGGGCUUCCUAGGGAAACCUAGGCAGAGUGCAAGGUGCUGCAUGGCUGUCGUCAGCUCGUGUCGUGAGAUGUUGGGUUAAGUCCCGCAACGAGCGCAACCCUUAUCGAUAGUUACUAGCGGUUCGGCCGAGCACUCUAUUGAGACUGCCGUUGACAAAACGGAGGAAGGUGGGGAUGACGUCAAGUCCUCAUGGCCUUUAUGUCCAGGGCUACACACGUGCUACAAUGGCAAGUACAAAGCGCUGCAAACUCGCGAGAGGGAGCCAAUCGCAAAAAGCUUGUCUCAGUUCGGAUUGCAGGCUGCAACUCGCCUGCAUGAAGUCGGAAUUGCUAGUAAUCGCGGAUCAGCAUGCCGCGGUGAAUACGUUCCC